rfam:Gossypium raimondii Chr11_contig_29, whole genome shotgun sequence.
UAUUAAAACUUUCAUCCAUUUCUACUGUUAAAAAUUGGCGUGACUAAUGGAAUAACUAGAUGAUGAAGCACGGUGUGCCACGUGUACAUCAUGCUGAUGUAAGACUAGUUUUUAACAGUAGAAAUGAAAAAAAUUAACA